rnacentral:rRNA from 1 species
UACGUAGGUGGCAAGCGUUGUCCGGAUUUACUGGGCGUAAAGAGCGCGCAGGCGGUCGUUCAAGUCGCGUGUGAAAGCCCCCGGCUCAACUGGGGAGGGUCACGCGAUACUGAUCGACUCGAAGGCAGGAGAGGGAAGUGGAAUUCCCGGUGUAGUGGUGAAAUGCGUAGAUAUCGGGAGGAACACCAGUGGCGAAGGCGACUUCCUGGCCUGUUCUUGACGCUGACUGCGCGAAAGCCAGGGGAGCAAACGGGG